GGCAAAACAUCCUUUCUGAAAACAACUUUUCAUGGACUCAAUGCUCUAUCAGGUUCUUUCUAAUUCUUUGGGUCUUUGGUUUCUUCCCUUUUUUACACAAGUUUAAGAAAGCUUUUUUUUUAAUCUUAUUGUCUUAAAAUAAAGAUAUGUCAAAUGUAUUAAUAUGUCAUUUAAUCUUGUGAUCUUAAACAUGUCAUGUGGAAAAUAGAAAUUAAAAGAGUUAUGAAAAAAGAAGAGUCAUUUUUAAAAAAAAAACUAAAAAAGAAAAUGCGGAGUUAUGAAAAAAGAAGAGUCAUUUUUAAAAAAAAAAAACUAAAAAAGAAAAUGCGUCAAAUAAAUGAAACAGAGGGAAUAUAACAUUUCCUUUGUUAUAAGAUCAUAUCAUUGAAGAUAAAAUAAAAUUUAAAAAAUUGAAGCUUUUUUAGAUAUAUGUAAGUGGCAUUCCCUUGAAAUUUAUUGUUUCAAUCUGUUUAACUUGAUUUGGAAUAUGAGAAUCAAACUAACAUCAUAAAAUUUUCAAUAGUUUUGAAAUGAGACUAAUCUUCCCCCACUAUACUAAGCCCCCUGCACUAUAAUUAAUGAACUUCAAUUUUAGGUUCACAGGAUUCUUUGAACAAUCCGUCCUUAUGUGGUACAUUUGCAUAACAAAAAUAGAGUAGAAACAUUAGUUUAGUUUUUUUGGUAGAGAAUCAAAUGUGAAUUGUUAUAUAUAUUAGUUGAUGAAUUUUUUAUUUCCUUAGGAGUUGGGAUUUUGUCGACUCCAUACGCAUUAUCAUCAGGAGGGUGGUUAAGCAUGAU
rnacentral:lncRNA from 1 species